rnacentral:rRNA from 1 species
ACGAACGUUGGCGGCGUGUUUAAGGCAUGCAAGUCGAGGGAUCGGUCGUAGCAAUACGAUACGGACCGGCAGACGGGAGAGUAACACAUUGGUAACCUACCUCUAAGACGGGGAUAGCCUUCCGAAAGGAAGAUUAAUACCCGAUAGUAACGCGGGGACACAAGUCAUUCGCGUUUAAAUGAUUUUCCGCUUAGAGCAGGGCCUAUGGUCUAUCAGCUAGUUGGUGAGGUAAUGGCUCACCAAGGCGACGACGGAUAGGGGACGUGAGAGCGUGAUCCCCCUCACUGGGACUGAGAACUGCCCAGACACCUACGGGUGGCUGCAGUCAAGAAUCUUCCGCAAUGGACGAAAGUCUGACGGAGCGACGUCGCGUGCAGGAUGAAGCCCUUUGGGGUGUAAACUGCUUUUAUAGGGGACGAAUUUGUGACGGUACCCUAUGAAUAAGAGGUUGCUAACUCUGU